rnacentral:rRNA from 1 species
UCGUGAAAACUCACAACUCAAUUGUGGGCGUGCGGGCGAUACGGGCAGACUUGAGUACUGCAGGAGAGACUGGAAUUCCUGGUGUAGCGGUGGAAUGCGCAGAUAUCAGGAGGAACACCGGUGGCGAAGGCGGGUCUCUGGGCAGUAACUGACGCUGAGGAGCGAAAGCGUGGGGAGCGAACAGGAUUAGAUACCCUGGUAGUCCACGCCGUAAACGGUGGGUACUAGGUGUGGGUUUCCU